UUCCGGUUGAUCCUGCCGGAGACCACUGCUAUUGGGGUUCGACUAAGCCAUGCAAGCGGAGGGCAGUUCGGCUGCCCCGCGGACGGCUCAGUAACACGUAGUCAACCUACCCUUGGGUCGGGUAUAACCCCGGGAAACUGGGGAUAAUCCCCGAUAGGUGGGGGUACUGGAAAAGUCCCUCCCCCAAAGCUCCGGCGCCCAAGGACGGGACUGCGGCCCAUCAGGUAGUUGGCGGGGUAACGGCCCACCAAGCCGACAACGGGUACGGGCUGUGAGAGCAGGAGCCCGGAGAUGGAGACUGAGACAAGGCUCCAGGCCCUACGGGGCGCAGCAGGUGCGAAAACUUCGCAAUGCGCGAAAGCGUGACGAGGGAACCCCAAGUGCCGAUGGUCUUUUUGAUCGUCGGCUUUUCAGGAGUUUAAAACGCUCUUGGAAUAAGAGCUGGGUAAGACUGGUGCCAGCCGCCGCGGUAACACCAGCAGCUCAAGUGGUGGUCGCGAUUAUUGGGCCUAAAGCGUCCGUAGCCGGGCCAGUAAGUCCUUUGUGAAAUCGGACGGCUCAACCGUUCGGCUUGCAGGGGAAACUACAGGCCUUGGGGCCGGUAGACGUUGAGGGUACUCCGGGGGUAGCGGUGAGAUGCUCUAAUCCCUGGGGGACCACCAGUGGCGAAGGCGCUCAACGAGAACGGACCUGACGGUGAGGGACGAAGGCUAGGGGAGCGAACCGGAUUAGAUACCCGGGUAGUCCUAGCUGUAAAGUAUGCUGGCCAGGUGUAGGGCGCUCCACGAGGGCGCCCGGUGCCGUAGGGAAGCCGUUAAGCCAGCCGCCUGGGAAGUACGGCCGCAAGGCUGAAACUUAAAGAAAUUGGCGGGGAGCACCACAAGGGGUGGAGCCUGCGUUUAAUUGGACUCAACGCGGA
rnacentral:rRNA from 1 species